UACGAAGGGGGCUAGCGUUGUUCGGAAUCACUGGGCGUAAAGCGCACGUAGGCGGCUUCUUAAGUCGGUGGUGAAAUCCUGGAGCUCAACUCCAGAACUGCCUUCGAUACUGGGAAGCUCGAGUCCGGGAGAGGUGAGUGGAACUGCGAGUGUAGAGGUGAAAUUCGUAGAUAUUCGCAAGAACACCGGUGGCGAAGGCGGUUCUCUGGGCCUGUACUGACGCUGAGGAGCGAAAGCGUGGGGAGCGAACAGG
rnacentral:rRNA from 1 species